rnacentral:rRNA from 1 species
UACGGAGGGGACUAGCGUUGUUCGGAAUUACUGGGCGUAAAGCGCACGUAGGCGGAUUUGUUAGUCAGGGGUGAAAUCCCGGGGCUCAACCUCGGAACUGCCUUUGAUACUGCAAAUCUCGAGUCCGGAAGAGGUGAGUGGAAUUCCUAGUGUAGAGGUGAAAUUCGUAGAUAUCGAGAGGAACACCGGUGGCGAAGGCGGCUUCCUGGACAGUUACUGACGCUGAGACGCGAAAGCGUGGGGAGCAAACAGG